rnacentral:lncRNA from 10 species
UUUCACAUUAUUUUAAUGAACUGAAAUGAUUUUUAAACUAAUUAAAUAAUUGUUAGACUUUAUCAAAUAUUUAAAUAAUUUAGAAAUAUAAAAUAAAAUCAAUUUUAAAAGUUGUAUGUCUUAAAUAUUGUAAGUAUUAUCUAAAUCUUAGAUAUAACUUUAUAUUAAGAGCUGAAAAGAAAUACCUGGAAAUUAUCUUAAUAUGAUUUUUUACCACAACAUUAUUUGUGGUGGUAAGAUUUGACCAAUCCAUUAAAAUAAAAUGGCUAUUGUAGAAUGAGUAGAUAAACUGUGGUACACAUUUUUGAUGGAAUAAUUAAUAGAUAAAACACCACAAAUGUAAUCUUAAAUGUAUCCCUCUAAGUGAAGGAUGGUAAUCCUAAAAGACUAAAUAUUUUAUAAAUCUACUUAUAGGACAUUUUUGAAAAGGAAAAAAUACAGGUUUAAAAGCUGGUCAGUGUUGCUUUGGCAGCUCAUAUACUGAAAUUAGAAUAACACGGAGAUUAGCAUGGCCUCUGCUGAAGAACAACAUGUAAACUCAUGAAGCAUUCCAUUUUUUUGUUUGCUUUUUGUUUUGAGACAGUCUUGCUCAAUCUCGGCCCACUGCAACCUCCGCCUCCCAGGCUCAAGAGAUUCUGCUGCCUCAGUCUCCCGAGGCGCCCACCACCAUGCCCAGCUAAUUUUUGUAUUUUGAGUAGAGACAGGGUUUUACCAUGUUGAUCAGGCUGGUCUCAAACUCCUGACCUCAGGUGAUCCACACGCCUCGGCGUCCCAAAGUAAUUCUGAG